rnacentral:rRNA from 1 species
UACAGAGGUCCCAAGCGUUGUUCGGAUUCAUUGGGCGUAAAGGGUGCGUAGGCGGCGCGGUAAGUCGGGUGUGAAAUCUCGGGGCUUAACUCCGAAACUGCAUUCGAUACUGCCGUGCUUGAGGACUGGAGAGGAGACUGGUAAUUUACGGUGUAGCGGUGAAAUGCGUAGAUAUCGUAAGGAAGACCAGUGGCGAAGGCGGGUCUCUGGACAGUUCCUGACGCUGAGGCACGAAGGCCAGGGAGCAAACGGG